CAGGUCCAAGGCCCAGCGUCUGGAGGAGCAGCAGCUGGACAUCGAGGGCGAGCUGCGCCGGCUCAUGGCCAAGCCCGGUGUUUCCCCCCGGGCCGGCCUGCCGUGACGAUCACAGCCCUGCCGUCUCAGGUCACGGUUUUGGAUUCUGCGCUAACGAGGUCUCCCAGGUGGGCUGGAAACACUGAUGAAGACGGAUAGAAAAAACACCAGCCCACCGGAUUAUUAAUAAAGAUAAUCACACACACCCCUUCGUCGGCAGCCGGCCUGACACUUUAUAAAGCACGUUAGGAUAUAAUCCAAUUGAAACUGCAAUAUCGAGAACAUCUCAUCUUAUCACAAAUUGAAAUUAUAUCACAUUCCUCUUUUCUUAAAUUAAAAAGCUAAAACCUUUUCGUUUGCUCUCA
rnacentral:lncRNA from 1 species